GACGAACGCUGGCGGCGUGCUUAACACAUGCCAGUCGAACGGAAAGGCCCUGCUUGCAGGGUACUCGAGUGGCGAACGGGUGAGUAACACGUGGGUGAUCUGCCCUGCACUUCGGGAUAAGCCUGGGAAACUGGGUCUAAUACCGGAUAGGAGCCAUUUUUAGUGUGAUGGUUGGAAAGUUUUUUCGGUGUAGGAUGAGCUCGCGGCCUAUCAGCUUGUUGGUGGGGUAAUGGCCUACCAAGGCGGCGACGGGUAGCCGGCCUGAGAGGGUGGACGGCCACAUUGGGACUGAGAGACGGCCCAGACUCCGACGGGAGGCAGCAGUGGGGAAUAUUGCACAAGGGGCGCAAGCCUGAUGCAGCGACGCCGCGUGGGGGAUGACGGCCUUCGGGUUGUAAACUCCUUUCGCUAGGGACGAAGCUUUUUGUGACGGUACCUAGAUAAGAAGCACCGGCUAACUACGUG
rnacentral:rRNA from 1 species